rnacentral:rRNA from 1 species
AGUGAACGCUGGCGGCAGGCCUAACACAUGCAAGUCGAGCGGCAGCGCGGGGGCAACCCUGGCGGCGAGCGGCGGACGGGUGAGGAAUUCGUCGGAAUCUGCCUUUUUGUGGGGGAUAACGUAGGGAAACUUACGCUAAUACCGCAUACGACCUACGGGUGAAAGUGGGGGACCGCAAGGCCUCACGCAGAAAGAUGAGCCGACGACCGAUUAGCUAGUUGGUGGGGUAAAAGGCCCACCAAGGCGACGAUCGGUAGCUGGUCUGAGAGGAUGAUCAGCCACACUGGGACUGAGACACGGCCCAGACUCCUACGGGAGGCAGCAGUGGGGAAUAUUGGACAAUGGGCGCAAGCCUGAUCCAGCCAUGCCGCGUGUGUGAAGAAGGCCUUCGGGUUGUAAAGCACUUUGUUCCGGAAAGAAAUACCUUCAACUUAAUACGUUGGGGGGAGUGACGUACCGGAAGAAUAAGCACCGGCGUAACUUACGUGCCAGC